ACUCCUACGGGAGGCAGCAGUGGGGAAUUUUGGACAAUGGGGGCGAACCCUGAUCCAGCAAUGCCGCGUGAGUGAAGAAGGCCCUCGGGUUGUAAAGCUCUUUUGUCAGGGAAGAAACGGUGAUCUCUAAUAUAGAUUGCUAAUGACGGUACCUGAAGAAUAAGCACCGGCUAACUACGUGCCAGCAGCCGCGGUAAUACGUAGGGGUGCAAGCGUUAAUCGGAAUUACUGGGCGUAAAGCGUGCGCAGGCGGUUUUGUAAGUCUGAUGUGAAAUCCCCGGGGCUCAACCUGGGAACUGCAUUGGAGACUGCAAGGCUAGAGUGUGUCAGAGGGGGUAGAAUUCCACGUGUAGCAGUGAAAUGCGUAGAGAUGUGGAGGAAUACCGAUGGCGAAGGCAGCCCCCUGGGAUAACACUGACGCUCAUGCACGAAAGCGUGGGGAGCAAACAGGAUUAGAUACCCUGGUAGGAUAGCG
rnacentral:rRNA from 1 species